rnacentral:lncRNA from 1 species
AGGACCCUCCAUUGAGUCUGUUUUCCUUCUCUCCCGUCCAGAACCAGCCAUGUCCUGAAAUCUGUCCCCAAACCAGGGCCGCCUACCCAAGACUGCAGGGGCUGCAUCUCCACUGCCUACGACCUCCUCCUCCCGGGCCAUGCAUGUCACUGGAGACACAAGAGUCCGGGACAUGAAAACCCUGGAAACUAAACCGCCCUUCCUGAGUAAACCAUGACUACAGGCAUGAAGUUGAUUUUUUUUUGAUCCAUGUUUAACGGGCUUUGGCACAGAACAAGUGGACUUCGGAAAAAAAGCAUUCAUGCUAUUUUGAGCCUUCCUGCGUGGACCCCAGAGGCCAGCACUGUCCACAGACUGUGCCCCCACCCUGGCUCGCACCUGGCUCUGUGAACACAGACUGCAGAAUGGGAAAGGGCAGGAGACACCAAUCCCUGCCAAGACUUGAGCUGCCGUGCUUCUGCCUCAGGAAACAGGCGAGGCUGAGAGGAAGCCCCCGCAGGUGUCUGCAUGUGAGCAUCCCCGCCAACCAGGGAAAACAACAGUUCCAACAUGAGGCGCUGCCUGGCACUUGACCAGCUGCCUGGAAAGCCUGCUUAUAAAGCCUGCUAUAUAACCUCCCUGCUUCCAAACUCAGAAUGACCCUGGGCCAGUCUGGUACAGCUCCAGUUAGUUUGCCUAUUUAUACUUCUAAUAUUUUCAAAAGAAACCCAAAGCCUAAAUAAUUAAAGAAAGAGCAAAAUAAAAGAC